UACGUAGGGUGCAAGCGUUGUCCGGAAUUAUUGGGCGUAAAGAGCUCGUAGGCGGUCUGUCGCGUCGGCUGUGAAAACCUGGGGCUCAACCCCGGGCCUGCAGCCGAUACGGGCAGACUAGAAUUCGGCAGGGGAGACUGGAAUUCCUGGUGUAGCGGUGAAAUGCGCAGAUAUCGGGAGGAACACCAAUGGCGAAGGCAGCUCGCUGGGACGGUACUGACGCUGAGGCGCGAAAGCGUGGGGAGCGAACAGG
rnacentral:rRNA from 1 species